AGUCUAGGAAUUUUUUUUGUAUAUGAUUACUUGAACACAUCUAUACGUGUUAAAUUGCUUUUUUUUUUUUUCUUUUCCCGAGUAGUAACUUAGGAAGUGUGAGGCAAUUCUUAGGAUAAGUAUGAAUAUGUGUGGAAGGUAGUGUGAGAUUGUACUACCAGAAUCACAAGAUUCGUACUUGAAACGGGAUGAGUCACAAAGUUACGAAGGCACUAGUAGUUGAAUUCUUUUCUUCAUGUUCGUCGUUACCAUCGUUCCGAUAAUGGCCAAGAAGAUUAAAGUUAUUUGUGACCCUAAUGGUCAUAUAGAACUGAGUCCAAUUAAUCUAGAAAGUAAGUUCGACGUAGCAUUUGAAUUUAGAUUGAAGGUAAAGAUAAUAGAAGCGAUGGGUAGAAGUGUCGCAGUCACCGUUAGGAUUAAGCAUCUUGUAGCUAGAAGUGUUACAUUCUAGAACGUGAUUAUAUCUCAUUAGAACAUGAAGGAAGGUAUCUUUCGUGUUAGAGCUUGACUAAAAGAGAUCUAAGUCUAACCGUUGCAUCAUACGGUGAAAGGUCACUAUAAUAUGACCCAUCGGUCCGUUAUGGUAGUCGAAAUAAAGAUCUUAUUAUUAGGUUAAAUCUGAUGGGUUUGAGCCAAAAGAACAUCUUAUGUGCUCAUGCAAACCCUAAUGCUUGGAUCUAGGUUUCUCUAAUUGUACAUGCAUUCAUCCAAGACUUGCAAACCCUAGAUCUAAUGAGAAGAAUUCGAAAUUGAAGAUACAAAUCAGAUCUAGAUCAUUACCUCUUGUUGCUUGCUUGAAUCUUCUUGUCUUUGAAGCUUAGAGUCACAAGUGUCACUCUUCUAAUGGAUUACAAAUACCAAUAGCAAAAGAAUGAUCUUGGAGAGAGGUUGGAGGCUUCUUGAAAUCGGCUCUAUCACUCUUAGGGUUAGGGUAGCCGAUUUCUGUAGCCCAGGGGUCCUAUUUAUACUGGAGCUGUUAGGGUUUCAGUCAAAAACCCUAAUGGACAGCUUAGGCCUUAAGCUAUCCAAGGAAGCUUCUGGAACAGGGUCUUAGGGCCGAAAUUAGGGAUGAACACAUCCUAAUUUCGUCCAUGCCUAGUCCAAUAGGCUCCUCAGCCCAAUACUCAACUAUCACACAUUUAACAGUUUAAGUCCCUGAUAUUAAAUCAAUGUCUUUUAGCCACAUAAUUAAUUUCUUAAUUAAUUAUUGUCUAAUAUUAAUUUAAUUAUAUGAUUUCUCCAUUAAUAUAUUAUUCAUAUAACAUAUUAAUAAAUCAUAAUAACCUCUUUCUUAAUAAAUCAUCCUAUCAUGUUGCUUUGGUGAAGGCAACCCAAAAUGACCAUGCACAACCGGGUCAAGUACUUACCAUAUAUAGUUACGGGCUUAGACACUAAUCCAACAGUCUCCCACUUGGAUAAGUCUAGUAACUACAAAUGUAAGCACAAUCCGAUUAGCAAUCGUAGCUCUCAAAGAUGCUGUCAAACUCUGAUCUUAUCAGUAACCUGUCCUUUAGAUAAGGGAUCGUAUAGUCCUCCAUUCUAGAUAUCGUGCAGACAAUUACAUGGAACAUAGUCAUACUUAUUGUCCAUCAGUUUGUUUCUCGAUAUCUGAUUCGUUUGACAUAGAACUUAAUUGAACACAUCAAUUUAGUCCUGAUCGGGCCCGACACAUAAGUCAAACCAAAUCAUUAAGGGGCGGGGCCCUGAUAUUGCUUUUACCCUCUUAGGAUAAAAGGAACAUAUAAACUUCGACUUAUAUGCAUUUACUAUUUAUUAAUCAAAUCAUACACAACAAUGCGUUUUAUAACAUCAAGUUACUGAUGCGUUUACGCAUUAUCAAUGCACAACCAAUUAGUAAACAAUAAACCAUAUAUUUAGGUUUUAAGACCAUAUGAUAUUAUCGUCUUGCAAUCACUCGAGAUAAAUUCCAUGAAGUGAUUCCAGCAAGCGUGGGUUUAUUCCAAUGCUCAAAUCAAACUCAUAAGCACUCAUGAACGUUGUAACAAACUUUUGCUAUGUCUAAUACACUUUAGACAAUCUACACACCAAUUCAUGACAAUCUUCAUUCAUACCUACUUCCAACAUAUGAACGACUGUGGACGGUUCGAAUAAUUCUUAUUAUCCAGGAAGUCAAAACAUGCAAAAUGAAACAAUAGGUAAACAAUUAACAUAAGACAGUAACAUUACUAAUAAAUAAUACUUUUUUAUUUAAUCAUCAAAUGUUAAUUACAGUUUAUCGAUUACACGUUUCUAAACUAUCUAAUCUAAACUAAUAUCAUCCUUCAGCCCGAUGCUCCUAGCGUGCUGCAAGUGCUUAACCCUGCUCAAUCCCUUCGUAAGCGGAUCUGCUGGGUUAUCUUCUGACGAUACCCUCUUAACUACGAGGAGUCCUUCUUCCACCCGAUGUCGAAUAAAGUGAUAUUUUCUGUCGAUAUGUCGAGAUCUGCCGUGAUCCUUCGGUUCCUUGGUCAAGGCAACCGCUCCAUCAUUAUCACAGGAAAUUUCCAUGGGAUCCUUUAUGGCUGGCACAACUCCAAGGUCUCUAAUGAAGUUCUUCAACCAUAUUGCCUCCUUUGACGCUUCGCUCGCUGCAAUGUACUCUAAUUCGCACGUUGAAUCAGCUCUGGUCUCUUGCUUGGAAAUUUUCCAAGUCACUGCUCCUUCAUUAAGGGUAAAGACCCAGCCCGACUGCGAACGGUAGUUGUCCCGGUCGGUCUGACAACUGGCAUCACUGUACCCUCGCACCUUUAAGUCAUCACUCCCACCGAGGACUAGAAACCAUUCCUUGGUCCUCCGAAGGUACUUAAGAAUAUAUUCUUGACUGCGGUCUAAUGCGCUUUGCCAGGGUUCCCUUGAUAUCUGAUGACCAUGCUCAAAGCGAAGGCCACAUCAGGGCGAGUACAAGUCAUAGCAUACAUGAUUGAGCCAACUGCGGAAGCAUAAGAAAUCUUCCUAAACUCGAGAUCUACUCAAAGGUGUGCUAGGACCAAAAUCUUCUUCAUUUCUUCUUCAAAAACCGAAAUAUCAAAGCAAAUGUGAGUUCAUACGUCUUUGUUUUCGGUUUUCAUAUGAUUUUUGGGGAGAAUACAAGUAAAAUGUGUAGAUCUAUGCGUUAUAUAUAUGUUUUGUGUGAAUUCUUAGUUUAUUUGGUAAAAACUUGUUAGAUCUUAGCAAAUCUCGAAAAUUUCAAGCAUUAUAUGGCAAAGAUAUAUGUACUAUGACACUAUAUGUAACACCGUAAAAAUUUAAACAAUUUUUCAAUUUUUUAAAAACCAUAUAAUAUCAUUCUCAUUCACUUUUCAAAACAUUGUAUCAACAUUAUCUCAAUACAAAACCCCAAGAUCAAAAACAUAUAAACUCCGGUGUGUGUGUGUAUGAAUCAUGCCGACGCCUUCCCGCGAUCAUCGUUGGUACCUGAAACACAUAACACAUAACACUAUAAGCAUAAUUGCUUCAUGAGUUCCCCAAAAUACCACUCUAACACAUAUUAGCCACUCGAGGCUAUAACUUUGUUGACCCUCUGGUCAAUGUGUCUCAGUGGGACCCUCCAACCCCAACUCUCUGUGGGCCCUCUGGCCCUAACUCUAUGGACCCGAAGGUCCUAACUCUAUGGACCCACUGGUCCUACUCUGUAAACUCUGAAUCAUGCAUAUCACAUAUCACAAUAAAUCACAACAAAUAAAUAUCAUGCAUAUACACUGGAACAUAACUCUAAAAUACACUGUCACAUAACUCUGUUACCACACUAGGUAAAGUAUAGUGAGAAAACUCACCUCAGAUGUCUCGGUAAAUCUCUGACUCGGUAGAAAUACGAUCUAGCCUCCGCCUAAUUACAUAAGGCAAAAACUCUCAUAAAUAUAACUCUCGGGUCUAGACUCAACUCUCUCUUGGCACCUUCAGAAGAGUAAAAGACCAUUUUACCCCUCUCUUGGUUCAAAGGCCCCCUUGUUGACCAAAUCCUAAAAGUCAACGGUCAAACUUUGACCCGACUCGUCGAGUGCACUUGGGCAACUCGGCGAGUCUACACGUGUCCACCAACUCUCUAGUCUCGCUCGGCACGUCGAGUCCCUCCCCUUGCUUGACGAGUCAUACCUGGCAUGAAUCACGGGGCCACCCCGACUCAACUCGCCGAGUCUCAAGAUCAACUCGGCGAGUUCCGCCUUGAACUCCAAUCCUCUAACCCCCCUCUGACUCACUGAGUCAUUUCCCUCAACUCGGCAAGUAACUCACUGAGUAAUUUUCGGGAAACCCUAACCCUACUCGCCGAAUUUGCCCUUGGACUCGGUGAGUUCGCGAAAUGCACAAACUCAAUAGACCUCAUGAGGUCAGAUCUGUUCCUUUGAUCCAUAGAUCUGACCUUCCAAGCCUGAUAAACACGUAAAGCUCGAAUCUUGACACUCAUGGGACGUCUAGGAGGUUUCACUUGGUGAUUUAACCCCAAAAAUAACAUCCUAAGCUCAUUACCUCCACAACUCAACAUAAAGCAAGCUGGGAUAAGCUCUUUAGACCACUAUGGGUCUAGAUCUGAAGUCUCAAAACGAAUAGGGGCCAUAUUCUCACAAUUCAUUCCAAUAAAGGACAUAAAACUCUACAUCUAUGGAUUCCUUCAACCAAACAGAUAAAGGGGCGAUAUAAUACCUCAAAGAUGAAGUCUUUUGCUCGAAAUCAAUAGAUACACAACCUCCUUGGUCUCCUCUAAGCUGGAAUCACGUUCUUCUUGCAAGAAUCAACCACAAAGAUCAAGAAAUGGCUCCUUUCCUCUCACAAACGCUCUAGCUCUAUUAGGGUUCCUCUCUGGGGUUUGGUAGCCGCAAAUGAUGGCCCUAAGGGCCUUUAAAUAUGUCCCAAACCCGGGGAAUUAGGGUUUUAUUAAACAGCGUGGACUCGCCGAGUCCACUCAUGAACUCACCGAGUCCAACCAUGAACUCAGAUAAGAAUCCGCGACCCUACUUGGCGAGUGUAAGCACCAACUCGCCGAGUCUUUUCACAACCUCCAAAAUAAAAGAAUAAAAUAAUAUACCUGGGAAUCCGGAUGUUACAAUUCUCCCCCACUAGAAUUAGACUUCGUCCUCGAAGUCUCACUCUGCAAACAACUCUGGAUGCUGCUGACGCAUCUCACGCUCCGGCUCCCAAGUCAACUCUGACCCUUUCCGAUGCUGCCACUGGACCUGCAGCAGAGGCACCUCCUUGUUCUUUAGAAUCUUGAUCUUCCGAUCCCUGAUUGCCACCGGUCUCUCAACAUAGUUCAGGCUCGCAGCCACCUGAAUAUCCUCUAAUGGCACCACUGUCGACUCGUCGGCUAUACACUUCCUCAGCUGCGAUACGUGGAAGGUGUCAUGAAUAUGCCCCAACUCUGCAAGUAGCUCCAACCGAUAGGCUACCCUGCCUACUCUCGCGAUCACCCUGAAAGGACCAAUAUAUCGGGGCCCCAACUUGCCCUUCUUCCUGAAUCGGAUCACUCCUUUCCAAGGAGAGACCUUCAGGAGCACGAAGUCGCCGACCUGAAAUUCGAGCUCGGACCGGCACCUAUCCACAUAACUCUUCUGGCGACUCUGAGCGGUCAACAACCUCUAUCUGACCUGCUAUAUAUGCUCUGUUGUCUGAAGCACGAUCUCUGUACUACCCAUCACACGUUGCCCUACCUCUCCCCAACAAAUGGGGGUCCGACACCUCCUCUUAUACAACACGUCAAAGGGUGGCAUACCAAUGCUCGAAUGAUGGUUGUUGUUGUUGUUGUAGGAAAACUCUGCCAAGGGCAAAUACGUGUCCCAACUCCCGCCGAAAUCCAACACACAUGCUCGGAGCAUGUCCUCGAGCGUCUGAGUCGUCCGCUUGCUUUGCCCGUCAGUCUGUGGGUGGUAUGCAGUACUAAAAUGCAACCUCGUACCCAAUUCCUCAUGAAAUUUCUUCCAGAAUCUGGAAGUGAAACGCACAUCUCGAUCUGAGACAAUCGAGAUCGGCACUCCAUGCCGCGAUACCACCUCCCUCACGUACAUCUCUGCCAACCUCUCCGUGGAAGAGCUCUCACUGAUAGCAAGGAAGUGAGCGUUCUUCGUCAACCUGUCCACAAUCACCCAAAUUGCAUCGACACCUCUCGCAGUCCUCAACAAUUUGGUGAUGAAAUCCAUGGUAAUCUGUUUCCAUUUCCACUCGGGAAUCUCUAACGGCUGCAACUUACCAUGUGGACGCUGAUGCUCGGCCUAAACCCUGCGACAGGUCAAGCAUCUCUCUACAAACCAUGCGACAUCCCUCUUCAUACAGGGCCACCAAUACUCUCUCUUCAGGUCCAAAUACAUCUUAGUGGCCCCGGGAUGGAUCGAGAACCUCGAUCGAUGUGCUUCCUCCUUCAAAAUGGUACGCGUUCCGCCCACAAACGGUACCCAAAUCCGACCCUGAAAUGUCAUAAGCCCCCAACUAUCGGUAAUGAACUCCGAUACCUGCCCGAUAACUCGCUCUCUCUUCUGGUUUUCUGGUCUCACGGCCUCAUCCUGGGCUCCUCGAAUGGUGUCCAACACCGGAGUCAUCACUGUCAAUCUCAUGCAAACGUCUCACAUCGGGACGCUCUCCGCCCUACGGCUCAGGGCAUCGGCUACAACGUUAGCCUUACCAAGGUGGUACAGGAUCUCGCAAUCAUAAUCCUCUACCACGUCUAACCAUAUCCUAUGACGCAUAUUCAGGUUGGGCUGAUCCAUCAAGUACUUCAAGAUUUUGUGGUCCGUGUAUAUGGUACACCGAACCCCAUAUAAAUAGUGACGCCGGAUCUUGAGGGCGAACACCACUGCCCCCAACUCCAGAUCGUGGGUGGGAUUCCUCGACUCAUGAGGUUUCAGCUGCCUCGAUGGAUACGCUAUCACAUGCCUCCUCUGCAUAAGCACCGCUCCCAACCCUGAUAUCGACGCGUCACAAUACACUACGAAGUCCUCCAUCCCCUCCGGAAGGGCUAACACUGGGGCUUUGAGUAGUCUCUGGCAAAGUGUCUCGAAGGAGGCCUGCUGCUUCGGGGCCCAUGAAAAAGCAACACCCUUCCGGGUCAACUUGGUGAGUGGCACGACGAUCUUGGAGAAAUCCCUGAUAAAUCUCCGAUAAUAACCAGCCAACCCUAGGAAACUCCUGAUCUCGGUAGGUGACCUCGGCACCUCCCAACUCAUCACCGCCUCAAUCUUGGCCGAGUCGACCAAUAUCCCUUUCUGGUUAACGAGGUGCCCUAGGAACCGGACCUCUCGCAACCAUAAAUCACACUUGGAGAAUUUGGCAUAAAGCCUCUCCGAUCUCAAAACUCCAAGGAUCUCCCUCAAAUGCUCCUCAUGCUGCUCUCUGGAUCUCGAAUACACCAAUAUGUCGUCGAUGAACACGAUCACCGAGCGAUCCAACAUCAGCCUGCACACUUUGUUCAUGAGAUCUAUGAACACCGCCGGUGCAUUGGUGAGCCCGAAAGGCAUUACCACGAACUCGUAAUGCCCAUAACGAGUCUUGAACGCUGUCUUCUGGAUGUCCUCAUCUCGCACCCUCACCUGAUGAUAUCCAGACCUCAAGUCGAUCUUGGAGAACCAAGAUGCUCCCUGCAACUGAUCGAACAAAUCGUCGAUCCUCGGCAACGGGUAACGGUUCUUGACCGUCAGCUUGUUCAACUCCCGGUAAUCAAUGCACAUCCGGUGUGAACCAUCCUUUUUCUUGACAAAAAGGAUAGGCGCUCCCCAUGGCGAACUGCUCGACCGAAUAAACCCCUUCCCCAACAGCUCCUGAAGUUGCUAGGAUAACUCCUGCAUCUCUGGAGGCGCAAGGCGAUAGGGCGCCUUGGCGAUAUGCGCAACCCCCAGAACCAAAUCAAUACUGAACUCUAUCUGCCUCUCGGGAGGCACACCCGGUAACUCCUCCGGAAAUACAUCCGGGAAUUCGCGCACUAUCGGAACCUCACCGACUGACCUCGAUCUCUCUGAAUCAACCCUCGUAUCCAUCACUUAUGCUACAAAUCCCCUAUAGCCCUGCUGUAGACUCUGCAUCGCUCUAGCGGCCGAACAAAAUGCUGACCCAGAACGGGUACCCUCGCCGUAUACCGUAAGAACUCCCCCACUAGGGUCUCGUAUGGUCACCAGCUGACGCUCGCAGUCGAUAACUGCUCCAAAUCUGCUCAACCGGUCCAUGCCCACGAUGACACAGACAUCUCCCAUCGCGAUAGGGACUAAGUCAAUCGGAAACUCCACUCCGAAAAUCUCGAGUACACAUCCUUGAAUCACCUCUGUGGCAUACACCGCUCUCUCGUCAGCUAUGGAAACUCUCAGAGGUCGAAUCAACGCCUCCCGACUAAUACUGAUGUGCUGACUAAAAGCCAAAGAUACAAAAGACGACUCGCACCCGAGUCAAAUAACACCAAGGCAGGUACGGAACACACAAGAAAAGUAUCUACACAUAACAUAAUAUAAACACAACAUCUCAACAUAAAAAUAAAUACAUAAAAGAAUACAUACCAGCCACGACAUCGGGCGCUGCACGGACCUCCUCCGCGGUCAACUGGAAGCCUCUCCCUCGUGCCUCGGCCUUUACGGGCUGAAUGUCUGUAGCUCUCACUGUAGUAGGGACAGAUCCCUGAGAUGCUCCCUGAGCUGUCCCUCGCAACUGUGGACACUCUGCCUUCUGGUGUCCGGUCUGGUUGUAGUGAAAACAUACUGCAAACCCCUUGGGGCAAUCCUUGGCCAUAUGCCCCUUCUUGCCACAUUUGUAGCAAGACAUUGCUCUGCACACCCCUCAUGGCUCUUACCACACUUGCCACAAAUACGGCCCCUCUAACUCCCAGAUCUCGAAUCAGCGGGCUUGGCCCGCUUGGCUGCCGGCUGAGACUGUGCCGGUCACCGAUCUCUCCACUGAGACUCAGCCUCCUCCCUGGCCUGGGUCUCCAGCUCUAUUUACCUCUUCCGAGCAUUUUCUGAAGCUCAACAAACGUCCAGUACGUCGAGUUCGCCAUGAACUCUCGUAUAUCCCUCCUCAAAAUGCUCAGAUAUCGGCUCAUACGUGCCUGCUCGGAGGACACGUGCUCUGGGCAGAACAUCGCUCGCUCAUGGAACAUCCUCGUAAUCACUGUAACAGACUCAGUACCCUGAUUGAGGGUCAGGAACUCCUGGGCCAAACGCUCCCUCUCCACCUGGGGAACGUACUCAUCUCGAAACAUAGCAGUGAACCUCUCUUAGGUCACUGCAGCAAGCUCAGCAGGUGAAUAAUGCGCCAUCACAAACUUCCACCAGUCCUUCGCUCCCAAGCGAAGCUGGUUCAACGCGAAUCGGACUCUCAAAUGCUUCGGAGAUGAGCAAGUAAAGAAACACCCCUCAAUGUACGAAAUCCACCUCAUCGCUGCAAUUGGGUCCUGGGUCCCAUCAAACUCCGGUGGUUUUGUGUUGCUGAACUCUAUCACGACCUUGCGGCCUAGUCGCAGCUAUAGUUGUAGUGGCCGCAGCAACCGCAGCCUCAGAAAGAGCAGCGUAUCUCUCAUCAAAUGUCUCUAUCAGGGUGGUCUUGAUAGAACCGAACAUCUCUGGUAUCUCUGCCCUGAUGGCUGCAUCCACCUCCUCAUGGAUGAUCCUACGAAUCUCCUCAUCACUCGUACCGCUGAUCUCUGGUGUGUGGCGUGUCCCUACCAUGAUCUCUCUCUGAAAUACAACAUAAGGAAUAUUAGGGACUCGAUCGAGCAUACUCACACUUGAAAACUCCACCCUACUUGUUCCUUAGUACUUUGAGGAUUCUUACUUGAAUUGCGCACUGAUCCGGUGUCUUCGGUAGUACGGGCCCAAUACUACCGUCCACACCGCAUCAACAUUCAUCCCAAGUCCUCCUCCCAGAGUCCCAAAUCCCAAGUACUCUACUCUCUCUACUCAUGUGCUACUCACUAGCAGAUCUCUCAUAAGCUCCUCGCUGAUAUCUAAACAUCCACAAGCAUUUCUAGCAGCAAAACUCCUAGACUAAGGCAUCACAUAUCAGGCCACUCUAGUCCUAAUAAGAAUACCUAGUCUACUCUAGCAUGCAUAACAUAACUCAUCAUAUAGCAUAACAUAACAUAUCUUAUAACACUUAUUGCAAGGGUAUUUUGAGAAAUCAUCGUUCGGGCGCUGGCUGUUCGUACACACGGCUCUGCUCUGUUUGUCUCAAAACUCCUUUUUACUCUUUAAAAAUUUACUUUAUUAUCAAAAAUUUUCCUAAAAUCCUCAUUUUGAGUUCAGAUACACCCGAAGAUGCAUCCGAAUCCCUCAAACCAAGGCUCUGAUACCAACUUGUAACACUGUAAAAAUUUAAACAAAUUUUCACUUUUUUAAAAACCAUAUAAUAUCGUUCUCAUUCACUUUUCAAAACAUUGUAUCAACAUUAUCUCAAUACAAAACCCCAAGAUUAAAAACAUAUAAACUCUGGUGUGCGUGUGUACGAAUCAUGCCGGUGCCUUCUCGCGAUCAUCGCUGGUACCUGAAACACAUAACACAUAACACUGUAAGCAUAAUUACUUAGUGAGUUCCCCAAAAUACCACUCUAACACAUAUUAGCCACUCGAGGCUAUAACUCUGCUGACCCUCUGGUCAAUGUGUCUCAAUGGGACCCUCCAGCCCCAACUCUCUGUGGGCCCUCUGGCCCUAACUCUAUGGACCCGAAGGUCCUAACUCUAUGGACCCACUUGUCCUACUCUGUAAACUCUGAAUCAUGCACCUUCAGAAGAGUAAAAGACCAUUUUACCCUUCAGAAGAGUAAAAGACCAUUUUACCCUUCUUUUGGCUCAAAGGCCCCCUUGUUGACCAAAUCCUAAAAGUCAACAGUCAAACUUUGACCCGACUCGUCGAGUGCACUUGGGCAACUCGGCGAGUCUACACGUGUCCACCAACUCUCUAGUCUCGCUUGGCACGCCGAGUCCCUCCCCUUGCUCGACGAGUCACACCUGACAUUAAUCGCGGGGCCACCCCGACUCAACUCGCCGAGUCUCAAGAUCAACUCGACGAGUUCCACCUUGAACUCCAGUCCUCUAACCCCCCUCUGACUCACUAAGUCAUUUCCCCCAACUCGGAAAGUAACUCACUGAGUAAUUUUUGGGAAACCCUAACCCUACUCGCCGAGUUUGCCCUUGGACUCGGUGAGUUCGCAAAAUGCACAAACUCAAUAGACCUCAUGAGGUCAGAUCUGUUCCUUUGAUUCAUAGAUCUGACCUUCCCAAACCUGAUAAACACGUAAAGCUCGAAUCUUGACACUCAUGGGACGUCUAGGAGGUUUCACUUGGUGAUCUAGCCCCAAAAAUAACAUCCUAAGCUCAUUACCUCCAUAGCUCAACAUAAAGCAAGCUGGGAUGAGCUCUUUAGACCACUUUGGGUCUAGAUCUGAACUCUCAAAACGAAUAGGGGCCAUAUUCUCACAAUUCAUUGCAAUAAAGGACAUAAAACUCUACAUUUAUGGAUUCCUUCAACCAAACAGAUAAAGGGGCGAUAUAAUACCUCAAAGAUGAAGUCUUUUGCUCGAAAUCCAUAGAUACACAACCUCCUUGGUCUCCUCUAAGCUGGAAUCAUGUCCUUCUUGCAAGAAUCAACCACAAAGAUCAAGAAAUGGCUCCUUUCCUCUCACAAACGCUCUAGCUCUAUUAGGGUUCCUCUCUGGGGUUUGGUAGCCGCAAAUGACGGCCCUAAGGGCCUUUAAAUAGGUCCCAAACCUGGGGAAUUAGGGUUUCAGUAAACAACGUGGACUCGCCGAGUCCACACAUGAACUCGCCGAGUCCAACCAUGAACCAGGAUAAGAAUCUGCGACCCUACUCGGCGAGUCUAAGCACCAACUCGCCGAGUCUCUCCACAACCUCCAAAAUAAAAGAAUAAAAUAAUAUACCUGGGAAUCCGGAUGUUACACUAUACAUCCAACUAUCAAGUUAAAAGUGUUAAAUGUUUAAGAUAUAAAGAUUUCAACAAAAAAUUUGUUAAAGGUCAAAAUUGUCAAGAAAACAAAAGAUUAGGGUAAAAAGUGAAAAUUUCGUUUUUAAAUAGGCCAAACAGGUCCUACAAGUAUUAAAAUGUGUUUUUAUGCUAAACAUACUUUUAAAAGGGCCAAAAAUGCAAAUGUUAGCUUAAUGGGCCAAAACUUUGGGCCUCAUGGUUAUGGGCCCAAUUUGCUAAAAAAAUGAGUUUUGGGGUUUAAAAAUGUCAUUUUGACAAAUUUUGAGUCAUAAAUGUAAAUAAACCAAAUUUAGAGGUGAAAAUAUCAUUUAUUUGCAAAUUGGACCAAAAAUGUAAAGUUUUCCAAAAAUGGGGACGAAAGUGUUAACUUUUACAAAUAAGGGGCUGAAAAUGUAUUUUUUUGCAAAAUAGGGUUCUAAAUGUAAAAAUAUAACAUUUUGGGUUAAAACUGUAAAUUUAUAGACAUUUGGGACAAAAUUGCAAACUUUUAUAAAUUAUGGACUAAAGUGUCAUUUUUACAAAACUUUGGGCCUAAUUUAAAAAUUUGAAAAUUGUUGAUGAAAAACGUCGUUUUUACAAAAAGAGGAUUUCUAUCACCAAUCUAUCGAACUUCAAGUCAAAACAAACAACGGAAUAAAACAAAACGAACGAAAUAUGUCAAUAACAAAUUAUUGGGCUUAAUAUUCAUGAUACUAGGCCGUUGGGCCCUAAGGGCCCAACUAAGUGUAUAUUGAGCCCAAUGUGUUCCAUGGCAUGUGUAUUGGGUCUCACGACCCACUUUCAUGUUAAUUUGGGUUUGAUUUAUUGGCUACAUGUUAGUGGGCCUUUGUGACAAAUUUUCAUGCAUAUUGGGUCUAAAUUACCCUUUUAUUAUGUUAUUGGACCUUGUGGCCCAUUUACAUGUUAAUCGGGCUUGGAAAUGAAGAUUUACAUACUAGUAAAUCCUAAAUAUACAUCUACAUAGUUUAUGAAUUUGUACACUUACUUUGGAAUAGAAAAAUCUAUAACUUACGCGUAAAACAUUAAGCAUGGGAAAAUCUUAUCAAACGGGAAAGGUUGAGAAUCUAGUGAGACUUGUCGGUUGGCACCAUUGAGUGUACAAUCGUAUCCUGUAGUUAUAAUCAGAGUUUCCUGGAUGGAAAGCGGGAGUUUGUGUAUAGAUCUAUACGGGAUGACCCCGCACGCCUUAGCUGCUCGCUACAGCUAGACUAGGCCAGUCUAGGGCGACAACAUCCUUAGCAAGACCAGCAUUUGGAAAAAUACCAAGACGGGUGACCUAGUCAUUAUCAUGCAUGGUUAUAAUGGCUCAUAUAGGGAUUCAAUACCAAAAGAUAACCUUUUGAAGAUAAAUUCUUCAAUUGUGUCAAUGCAAAACGACUUAUCUACAAUACGAAAAUCUAAGCGAUGAUACAAAACAGAAAAUAUCGGAUUUUCUGGGGAAAUUAUUCAUAUACACUUAUAAUUUAUUCAAAAUACAAUGAACCUAAACUACACUCGUACAAGUUUUUAACUAUUAAAUUCACACAUGCAUUUAUACUUGAUUUUCACAUCAUUUUUAGACAUAUUUACAGAAAAUAUCGGAUUUUCUGGGUUUUUAUGAAAGAUACAAAGACUUUUACUCAAACAUACUUAUGAACUCACCAACAUUAUAUAUGUUGACCGCUUUCAAAAUAACUUGUAUUCUCAGGUAAUCGUUAAGCCGGAAGAUUUGCAAGUGUGUAUGGUUUCGUUUAUGUAAUAGCACUUAUCGUACUUUUAACAAUUUGACCUUAUGUAUUUUAACAAUGUACUUGAUGUGAACAAUACUAGUUGUAUUAUGUAAUGUUGGUGAUGGUCGUGUUA